rnacentral:rRNA from 1 species
UGGGGAAUAUUGGACAAUGGGGGCAACCCUGAUCCAGCAAUGCCGCGUGAGUGAAGAAGGCCUUCGGGUUGUAAAGCUCUUUUAUUAGGGAAGAUAAUGACGGUACCUGAUGAAUAAGCUCCGGCUAACUUCGUGCCAGCAGCCGCGGUAAUACGAAGGGAGCUAGCGUUGUUCGGAAUUACUGGGCGUAAAGGGCGCGUAGGCGGCUCUGCAAGUCAGAUGUGAAAGCCCCGGGCUUAACCUGGGAACUGCAUUUGAUACUGCAAGGCUAGAGAUUGUGAGAGGUAAGUGGAAUUAUGAGUGUAGAGGUGAAAUUCGUAGAUAUUCAUAAGAACAUCAGUGGCGAAGGCGGCUUACUGACACAAUACUGACGCUAAGGCGCGAAAGCGUGGGGAGCAAACAGG